CAUGCCUCUUCUCUUCCAUAUCUGCCUACUUUUCCAUCUGGAACUCAAAAGCUGCCUGCAAUUGUUCUCCGUUACUUGGAUUACAGUGUUGUAUGAACGCUUCUUGCCUUGCAGAUUGCAUGUUAGACCCGUGAUUAUCUACAAAAGGCUUGACAAACAAAAACAACCAUGAGGUGAAGACUUGUUCAAGAUUUCGAAUUAUUCUAACGGUCCGACAGUUGUGUUGAACGUGAUGUCACUCCAUGAUUCAUCGGCAUCGGAUUCACUUUUGGAUUUUCCGAAGAGUCAAGAGUCACCAAUCCAAAAGGAGCUGAGGCCUAUUGGCCGAAAGGUGGCUAAGGCGAAGAGAAGGAGUAAUUCUUGCAAUAAUACAUCAAAAAUUUUGGAGGAAAUUGUGAGGCAUGGCGCCAUGAGAAUUGAAAUAGACAUACGCGCCCAAGCAAACGAGAGGACAAUUCAAGAAGAAUAUGCAAAAGAAAGGGAGUAUAUACGCAAAAAAAAUAUUGACAAGCAAGACCGGGAAACUAUGGCUAUGAAUA